GGUCAAGUUAGAAAGGGCGUAUGGUGGAUGCCCAGGCACUUAGAGCCGAAGAAGGACGCAGCAAGCGGCGAAACGCUCCGGGGAGUCGCAAGCAGACGCAGAUCCGGAGAUCUCCGAAUGGGGAAACCCGCUUAAGGUAAUACUUAAGCAUCCCAUGGUGAACACAUAGCCAUGAGGAAGGGACACCGCGUGAACUGAAACAUCUAAGUAGCGCGAGGA
rnacentral:ncRNA from 1 species